AGAGGCCCCAAACUGACCCUUGGCACGUGAGGCCAGGAAUGCCUGUCCAUUCCAAUUAAGGGUCAAAGCCAGCAGCUGCGGGAUCGUCACACCCUUACCCUUUAAUCCCAGCGAUGCUGAGCCGGCUUCCAUCCCCUCGCUGAGCUAGCCAGCUGUCUGACUGCUUGAAAAUGGCGGAAGAGGAAGAGGGCGGCGUGGAGGAGGGGGACGUGUUCCUAGCAUUUGCCCAGGGUCCCAUUCCUCCUCGGGGGCCCGUGCGGCAGGCUUUGGACAAGAUCUUCCUCGCCUUCUUGGUCCUCUUCCUGACUCUGCUGAUGCUGGAGGCUGCUUACAAACUGCUGUGGCCCCUGCCAUGGGCCAAGUUUCAGGACUGGCUCCUGAGGACCCCUGAGGAGGAGGCAGCUCUGGUGCUCUGAGCAUCUUCAUAGACCACCUGUCCUUGCUACUGAG
rnacentral:lncRNA from 1 species